GCCUGACUCAGUAAAUGCAGUGGGUAGAGCAUGAGACUCUUAAUCUCAGGGCCAUGGGUUUGAGCCCCAUGUUGGGCA